GAAUGGGGACCAAAGUAAAAGAGAUUACUAUUCUCUUCCUCCUCUGCACCUCUGUUUGGAAGGGUUGGGGCUGGUAACUACUACAUUAAUAUAGGCUACUUUUCAAGCCCCAGAAAGGCUGAAGGAGUGGUGCAAUAUUAAACCCCAGACAUCUUUCCACUUGUCUGCAUUUUCUGUGACAGCAGCAGUGUCUAAUGGUGUGAAGUUCUGGCAGUUAAAAUACUUUGAUAUGUACUUUCCCAGGCUUCAAAAGAACAGAGAGACAAUGAACUCAUGACUUGAGGGCGAGCAGAGUCAGCCAAGAGCUGGAGAAUUUAUCUUUUUUCUUUUUCUUUCAGUGUCUCUGGCAGGAGUUGAAAUAUUUUGGGAGGUGAAAGAGAUAUACAAGAAAGAAAGAGACUUGUUAGUGGUUUCUGAGGCUGCAGGUUUGAUGCCUCCGGCAGUUUUCCAGUCUGCACAGGUUUGCUCUUACUGCCACAGGUAAAUCAGGGGACAGCUCUUCAUCAGAGUUGGAAGACUUAUAAACUAUAAAAGUGCCUGCAACUCAGUCUUCGUUCCUGGCAACUCCCUGAACAGGUCUCAGAAUUUUCUUGGCCAGAAUUUGCCUCCUUCCUAGGGCUGAGAAAGAGGAACUGGACCAAGGUCACCCAGCUAGCUUCAAGCCUAAAACGGGACUAGAACGCCUGAUUUCCCAGUUACAAUCCCUUAAUCAUGAAACUCAAAACAGCUUUGACCAACCAAGUCUUACAAUGAAUAAAGAUGAUUGCCUCCUGUGCUGCCAAACCACUGCUGUACAAAGAGUAGAUGGACAUUAUUUGACCUAGUAAAAUGAACAUUAUUUGACCCUAAAUUGUGAAUAGAAAGAAUAAUAGGUUUUUGGAAGAAAAACUGGAUCUCUGAGCAACAGAAAUUGUUCUCAGCUGCUACAUCAGUGCUGAAAUAACAGUCUUUACUAAAAGGGAUAUAAUGCUACCAUUCAUAAAUAAGGUAUUCUCCACCUUAAAAGUUAAACCACUGAAAAGAUCAUAAAAAUCUGCAUGGAAGUAAUAUUCCAGGGAAUAAUAGAAAUAGGGUGAAAUUUAUGGGGAUGUGAAUCUGGGAGAGUUUCUUUUUUUCUCCUUGACAACAGCAGCUCCUAAAAUGCCACAAUUACAAGGAGAGAGGAGCAAGGAGAGAUUUCGGUUGUUGAUGAAAUCCCUCUUUUGUACUAUAGUAACAACAAUGCAAAAAUGCAAACAGAGACUGGACAACAAGAAACAUCAUUUGAAAAUGGCUUUGAAAAUAACUACUUUAAAAGAUCUGCUGCAGCCUUUCUCUCUGAUCACUUGUUUUUCUGGGCUGCCAGACUUGUUUCCAUGGCUCAUUGUCAAGGUUAGCCUAUUCUGGGCUUAUUGUCAAGGUUAGCCUCUUCUCGGAAAUAUGUAUUAUGUUUCACUUAUACUAAAUAAACAAAAAGUCUAUUGCAUAUAGAAUAUAUUACAAUAUAGAUAAAUUUGUUCUUUGGGCACCAAACACACUGUCCUUAUGUAAGUAAAGACAAGAUACAUACAAACAGCAUAAGGGAAUAUUUCGAAGGGUUGAAAAAUUAUGGGGGAUGGUAGGCAGAAUGAAGAAGGGAAGAAAAAGCUGAAGAAAUAUAGAUGGACUAAUGACCAAGUCCGUGAUAGAGGCUAAUGACAUCUACAUUAAAAGUGAGACAAAAAACACAAGGAACAAUAAGGAUAAAAUUUAUAGAUUUCAUAAAAGUCAAACAUUUCUUUAAAAAGUAAUCAAAGCAAAUCAGGUGUAAGAAAAGACCAACAGAAUACAUUUGAGCUGCUAUUUCAUUUUCUCUUUUUUCCUCCAAGUAAAUUUUAUAAGUAGCAGGAAAGUAAGAUAUAAACCAGUAGAACAGCAUUCCUCCCAGUGUUCUGACAACAGAGUUUGUUGAAUGAUAAAACUCAUGGGUUAGUUAUUCAUAUCAAAAUCAGAAUACCCAUCAUACCCAUUAAAUAUCACACACACACACACACACACACACACACAAACUUACUUUUGUCUAUAUAGGGAAGGAAAGCUAAAGCUUAAAACAGAAUCUGAGGCUGCAGAGCAAAAUCUCCAAGUAGUCUUUGAAUUUGAUACUUGACUUAAAUAAAUUUGAAUAUUCAAUUCAAAAA